UACGAAGGGUGCAAGCGUUAAUCGGAAUUACUGGGCGUAAAGCGUCCGCAGGUGGUCGUGCAAGUGCCGUGUGAAAGCCGGCGGCUUAACUGCCGGAGGCCAUAGCAGACUGCUCGACUCGAGACCGGGAGAGGUCGGUGGAAUUCCUGGUGUAGCGGUGAAAUGCGCAGAUAUCAGGAAGAACACCCGUGGCUAAGGCGGCUCUCUAGUACGGUACUGACGCUGAGACGCGAAAGCGUGGGGAGCGAACAGG
rnacentral:rRNA from 1 species